AGAGUUUGAUCAUGGCUCAGAACGAACGCUGGCGGCAGGCUUAACACAUGCAAGUCGAACGAGAAGGGUCUUUCGGGAACUGGACCUAGUGGCGGACGGGUGAGUAACGCGUGGGAAUCUACCCUGGAGUGGGGAAUAACCUCUGGAAACGGAGGCUAAUACCGCAUACGGCCCGUGGUAACAUGGGAGAAAGGCUUCGGUCGCCCUGGGAGAAGCCCGCGUUGGAUUAGCUUGUUGGUGGGGUAAAGGCCCACCAAGGCACCGAUCCAUAGCUGGUCUGAGAGGAUGGUCAGCCACACUGGGACUGAGAUACGGCCCAGACUCCUACGGGAGGCAGCAGUGGGGAAUAUUGGACAAUGGGCGAAAGCCUGAUCCAGCAAUGCCGCGUGAGUGAAGAAGGCCUUAGGGUUGUAAAACUCUUUCAGUCGUGACGAUGAUGACGGUAGCGGGAGAAGAAGCCCCGGCUAACUCCGUGCCAGCAGCCGCGGUAAUACGGAGGGGGCUAGCGUUGUUCAGAAUUACUGGGCGUAAAGGGCACGUAGGCGGCCUAUCAAGUCAGAGGUGAAAGCCCUGGGCUCAACCCAGGAAUUGCCUUUGAUACUGGUACGCUUGAGUCCGGGAGAGGGUAGUGGAAUUCCAAGUGUAGAGGUGAAAUUCGUAGAUAUUUGGAAGAACACCAGUGGCGAAGGCGGCUACCUGGACCGAUAUUGACGCUGAGAUGCGAAAGCGCGGGGAGCGAACAGGAUUAGAUACCCUGGUAGUCCCACGCCGUAAACGAUGUGUGCUAGUUGUCAGGCAGCUUCGCCUUCGGUGACGCAGCUAACGCAUUAAGCACCCCGCCUGGGGAGUACGGCCGCAAGGUUAAAACUCAAAGGAAUUGACGGGGACCCGCACAAGCGGUGGAGCAUGUGGUUUAAUUCGAUGCAACGCGAAGAACCUUACCACUCCUUGACAUUGGUGUCGCGAGGAGUGGAGACACACCUCUUCACUUCGGGUACAAUGGUGACAGGUGUUGCAUGGCUGUCGUCAGCUCGUUUCGUGAGAUGUUGGGUUAAGUCCCGCAACGAGCGCAACCCUCACCCUUAGUUGCCAUCAGGUUAAGCUGGGCACUCUAGGGGAACUGCCGGUGACAAGCUGGAGGAAGGUGGGGAUGACGUCAAGUCAUCAUGGCCCUUACGGGCUGGGCUACACACGUGCUACAAUGGCGGUGACAGAGGGCUGCAAGGCUGCAAGGCCAAGCGAAUCUCUAAAAGCCGUCUCAGUUCGGAUUGUUCUCUGCAACUCGAGAGCAUGAAGUUGGAAUCGCUAGUAAUCGCGGAUCAGCAUGCCGCGGUGAAUACGUUCCCGGGCCUUGUACACACCGCCCGUCACACCAUGGGAGUUGGUUUUACCCGAAGACGGUGGGCUAACCGCAGAGGCAGCCGGCCACGGUAAGGUCAGCGACUGGGGUGAAGUCGUAACAAGGUAGCCGUA
rnacentral:rRNA from 1 species